AGAACACACCCAUGAUUCCAAAAGAAAGCAAGAGAAGGACUUUCCCGAUACACAGACGGAAAACACCGCUUAUAUCACUAGAACCACAGGGGGAAGUUUUGCUGAAACACAGACGGUGUUAAAGUUCAGGUUGUUUGUCUACUGUGGAGGAAUAGCAGGAUUUAUACUGCUGAUUGGGGGCUGUUUUGCGUGUGUGCAGUUCAGAAAAAGAAGGCAAAAACCAAACACGGCAAUUACCAAUGAUGAAAACAGAAUUUUAAGAGUUUCUUGCAAAGGAAAUCAAAAUCCAUCUAAACAAAAGGAAAGUAUGCAUAUAUACCAUACCAUUGAUGACAACAUAUUAGCAGGUCCAAUCACAGACUGUUAUGCGUAUUCAGAGGUAAUUAUUGAAUCCAGCAGCCAGAAAAGCAAAACAAAUGGAACUGAAACUGCAUGUAGCUACGCUCAACAUGCUCAACAAUACCAAAGCUUAGUCCCUGAAACUUUAGAGAUGCACCAUUAAAAGUAGAGAACAAUAUCACAGAUAUGUUUAUAACCCUAAACAUUAAAAAAUACGUGAAACGUUUUCACAAACAAUAACGAUUCAAGAAAUGCAAUAAGGUUCAUAAUAUUAUCAAAAUAAACACAAAAGUAUCAGAAAUGUCAGGGAAAAAUACACUUUAAUGCCUUUUUUACACACUAUCUUGAAUUACAUUAUAUAUGUAAGUGUUUUCAAUACAAGCUAUGCAGUCCACUUGUCUGUUAAAGGAUAGGAACUUUAAUUUCCGUAGAGUACUGCUAUUAAAUUAGGAUUAAACAUUGAAUUGAAAGUAUUGUAUUUGGACUUGUACAUAGUAAAAAUCUGACAUUUUGUGCUGCAUAUAAUAUAUAUAACACAUCUUUCAUUGGCCUGUUUGAUCACUUAUUUGUCAUCU